rnacentral:rRNA from 1 species
CCCUUAGAUGUUCUGGGCCGCACGCGUGCUACACUGAGUGGAUCAGCGGGUCAGGUUGCGCGAAAGUGUUUCCUAAUCUUUAAAUCCGCUCGUGAUGGGGAUUGACGGUUGCAAUUUUCCGUCAUGAACGAGGAAUACCUUGUAAGCGCGGGUCAUCAUCCCGCGCUGAAUACGUCCCUGCCCUUUGUACACACCGCCCGUCGCUCCUACCGAUUGAGUGGUCCGGUGAGGCUUUGGGAUCUGAGCGGAAAGAGCGUUUCGCUGUUUCUGCCCGGAAAACUCAGUCGAACCUUAUCAUUUAGAGGAAGGAAAAGUCGUAACA